ACAACUUUCAACAACGGAUCCCUGUGGUGUGGGAUCAAUGGAAAACGCAGCGAAAUGCGAUACGUAGUGUGAAUUGCAGAAUUCAGUGAAUCAUCGAAUCUUUGAACGCACAUUGCGCCUUUUGGUAUUCAAAAGGGCAUUGCUGUUCGAGCGUCAUUU
rnacentral:rRNA from 1 species